rnacentral:rRNA from 1 species
GACGAACGCUGGCGGCGUGCUUAACACAUGCAAGUCGAACGGGCCUGUCUUCUUUUUUGGGGGGUGGGUUGAGUGGCGAACGGGUGAGUAUCACGUGAGUAACCUGCCCUUCGGUCCUGGAUAACCGCUUGAAAGGGCGGCUAAUACGGGGUGGUCCGGUUGGUCCGCAUGGGCUGGUCGGGAUAGAUUCACUGUUUUUGGUGUUUCGGCGGGGGAUGGGCUCGCGGCCUAUCAGCUUGUUGGUGGGGUGAUGGCCUACCAAGGCGGUGACGGGUAGCCGGCCUGAGAGGGUGGGCGGCCACACUGGGACUGAGAUACGGCCCAGACUCCUGCGGGAGGCAGCAGUGGGGGGUAUUGCACAAUGGGCGGAAGCCUGAUGCAGCGACGUCGCGUGGGGGAUGGAGGCCUUCGGGUUGUGAACCUCUGUUUCCGGUGGUGAAGGCCCUGUCCGUGUGGUGGGGUUGACGGUAGCCGGGGAUGAAGCGCCGGCUAACUACGUG